ACCAGGGAAGCUGAAGCUACUUACAGAGAGGUUAGAAACCUUCUGUCAGAGACCUGUAAGAAUAAUAAUAACUACCUAGUUACGUGCCUGGUGCCUGGCACAUGAAUUCACCAGAUUCUGCAGCAAUCCCAUUGGGUCAGUGCUAUUAUUAUCCCCAGUUUUUCAAGGAAUCUCCAUGCUGUUUUCCAUAGUGGCUGUACCAACGUAAUUCCCGUCAACAGUGUAGGAGGGGUCAUUCAUUCUUGAUUUUGUAAUUUUCACACUUGGGAUUCCCAUCUGUCUACAAUCCCAUUUUUACAAAUGAAGACACCAGCUUGAGAGAUAUAGACAUGCACAUGUCUGAGCAUAAAAUAUAAGUGGCCAAAAAGCAUAUGAAAAGCAUCAGUCUUUUCCAAAGAGUCAACUCUUCGCAUGAGGUGGCCAAAGUACUGGAGUUUCAGCUUUAGCAUCAUUCCUUCCAAAGAAAUCCCAGGGCUGAUCUCCUUCAGAAUGGACUGGUUGGAUCUCCUUGAAGUCCAAGGGACUCUCAAGAGUCUUCUCCAAGCAUCACUGACUCGAUGGACAUGAGUCUGAGUGAAAUCCAGGAGUUGGUGAUGGACAGGGAGACCUGGCGUGCUGUGAUUCAUGGGGUCACAAAGAGUUGGACACAACUGAGCGACUGAACUGAACUGACUGACUGAACUGAAGCACUUAAUAAACAUGAGCUGAGGGAUUUCCCUGGUGGCUCAGUGGUAAAGAAUCUGCCUGUCAAUGCAGGAGACAUGGGUUCCAUCUCCGGUCUGAGAGGAUCCCACAUGCCACAGAGCAACUAAUCCUGUGUACCUGCACCACAACUAAGGAGCCUGUGCUCUAGAGCCUGGGAACCACAACUACUGACCCCAUGUGCCUCAGUUACUGAAAUGUGUGCCCUAGAGCCCAUGCUCUGCAACAAGAGAAGCCCCUGAAAUGAGAUGCCUGCUUACCUCAACUAGAGAGUAGCCUGCACAGCAACAAAGACACAAUAC
ensembl:lncRNA